CGCUGCUUUCAGAUUGAAAGAUAUCUUACAGUUGACUUUCAUUUGGGUGUGUUGACAAUGACCUCUGGAAAAGCAGGCUUUGGUGGAGGGAAAAGCAAAAUCAAUACUGGAGGCAAAUAGGAUACAAGAAACAGCAGUAUUUCCAACAAAUUCUGUUGCUGAGGUUAAUCUUCGCAGACAAGUCUGGUUCUGUGAUUUCCAGCAGAAGUUCACAGACAGACACCUUUUGCAGUAUGGUUUCCAUGGGAACAGGAGGAAAUAAUUUUCUUGGCCAGCUGUAUUGAAAUGAACAUCUGUAUGCUGUAUGUUGUCAUUACCUUUCAGGUGAUUUGCGCAUUAGAGGUUUCAGCUCAUGUUCAGCAAGCAUCUUCUAAACUAUAAUUCGCCCUUCUUUUCUCUAAUGCUGUCAUGUUGUAUUUGAAUAUGCUUUAUUCUCUGUGUAUGUAUACUUUUAUUCAUAUUUUAUUGGCAUCAAAUGAAUCUAUUUUAAAUAAAUGCUGUUCUUUUGAACAAGUAUUUAUAUUAAAAUAUAAACCAGUG
ensembl:lncRNA